UAACGAAUAUUGGGCAAUGGGCGAAAGCCUGACCCAGCAAUGCCGCGUGCAGGACGAAGUCCUUCGGGAUGUAAACUGCUGUCAGGGGUCCGCAAGCGAAGGGGUCCAACAGGCCCUGGAGUUGAGCAGCCCCAGAGGAAGCCUCGACUAACUCUGUGCCAGCAGUCGCGGUAAGACAGAGGAGGCAAGCGUUGUUCGGAAUCACUGGGCUUAAAGCGCGUGUAGGCGGCCUGGUAAGUGUCGUGUGAAAUCCCAUGGCUCAACCAUGGAACUGCACGGCAAACUGCCUGGCUUGAGGUCGGUAGAGGUGCCUGGAACUCUAGGUGGAGCGGUGAAAUGCGUAGAUAUCUAGAGGAACGCCAGAAGCGAAAGCGGGGCACUGGGCCGAUUCUGACGCUGAGACGCGAAAGCGUGGGGAGCAAACA
rnacentral:rRNA from 1 species